rnacentral:rRNA from 1 species
UACAGAGGGUGCAAGCGUUGUUCGGAAUUAUUGGGCGUAAAGCGCGUGUAGGCGGCUUUGCAAGUCGGGUGUGAAAGCCCUCAGCUCAACUGAGGAAGUGCGCCCGAAACUGCAGAGCUUGAGUGCCGGAGAGGGUGGCGGAAUUCCCCAAGUAGAGGUGAGAUUCGUAGAUAUGGGGAGGAACACCGGUGGCGAAGGCGGCCACCUGGACGGUAACUGACGCUGAGACGCGAAAGCGUGGGGAGCAAACAGG